CUCUAAUCCUGGGCGCUGGCUGGGCGGGUACAAGGACCAUUGACUCCCCGGGUCUUGCGUGGUUUCUGGCCUAGGAGUGCUCUUGAUUUGGUUGCUUUCCUUUUCCUACGGAAAGGCUUAGGUCGGCUGCCAGGUCUAGGAGAUUUGGAACGCAGGCUGUUUCCUCCUUGUUUUCCGGUUCUGCCCGUGGGAGCCUUCGUUCUGGCGGAGAAGAGGAGGAAAGCGUGCGCCUGGUGACAGGCCUUUCCGCGUCGCGCUUCACACUGGUCCUAUGGUCACUCGGCGCAGCGGCAUUGAUAGAAGUGGAAAGUGAUGCCCUGACGGGGAGAGGGCUUUUCCCUAUCCACUCAUCCAAGGGCCUUCCAAACCUUGCAGAUUUAUGUAGUUGCUAGACACUCGUACCCGGAUGUUCAGCGGAGGAGGGCUUAAAUGUUGGAGAAGAGUGGGAACUAAAAUUUUAAGGGACUAAGGUGCAUUUCCAAAACAGAGUUUUGAGCACCGUCCAACACCUGCAGCGUGGAAUUUGUGAUCGUCUCUCGCCGUCCUGGGGUCUCAGCAUGUACUUCCUUUCCUGGUUAAGUCAGCUGUGCAGGGGUUUAUCCAGACCCAUCGGAAGGACAGCCCAGCCAACCUGGGGUUCUUUCUCCCGAAGUCUGGCGCUGAGUUCACAGAGGAGAAUUCCAGGUAAAAACAGGGAAGAGCCUGUUCUUUGCAGCCAUUUCCCCCCAGUCUUGAUAGCUGUAUGUAUGGAGAAGCAGACCAUUUCCUUUUUAUAUUCCUUAUUAUGCAUUUUUUUUUCAUUGUUUUUUGUUGUUGUUGCUUUUGUUUUUUAACGACCCUAGAAAGGUAACCGCAUUG
rnacentral:lncRNA from 1 species